GACGAACGCUGGCGGCGUGCUUAACACAUGCAAGUCGAACGGAAAGGCCCUGCUUGCAGGGUACUCGAGUGGCGAACGGGUGAGUAACACGUGGGUGAUCUGCCCUGCACUUCGGGAUAAGCUUGGGAAACUGGGUCUAAUACCGGAUAGGAGCCAUCUUUAGUGUGGUGGUUGGACAGUUUUUUCGGUGUAGGAUGAGCUCGCGGCCUAUCAGCUUGUUGGUGGGGUAAUGGCCUACCAAGGCGGCGACGGGUAGACGGCCUGAGAGGGUGUACGGCCACAUUGGGACUGAGAUACGGCCCAGACUCCUACGGGAGGCAGCAGUGGGGAAUAUUGCACAAUGGGCGCAAGCCUGAUGCAGCGACGCCGCGUGGGGGAUGAAGGCCUUCGGGUUGUAAACUCCUUUCGCUAGGGACGAAGCUUUGUUGUGACGGUACCUAGAGAAGAAGCACCGGCUAACUACGUG
rnacentral:rRNA from 1 species